UAACAACCUAGCCCCCUCAAAAAUCUAAUGAGCCCGUUAACUUAACACUACGAAUUAAAACAUUUUAUAAAUUUAGUAAAGGCGAUUAAAAAACUGAUAGGAGCAAUAAAAAAGUACCGCAAGGGAAAAAUGAAAUAAAAAUGAAAUAAAUAUAAAGCACAACACAGUAGAGACUAGCUCUCGUACCUUUUGCAUCAUGGUUUAACUAGUCCAAUCAAGCACAACGACUUAAAGUUUGACCUCCCGAAACUAAGUGAGCUACUUCAGGGCAGCUUAUUGAGCUAACCCGUCUCUGUUGCAAAAGAGUGGGAAGACCUUCAAGUAGGGGUGACAGACCUAACGAACUUAGUGAUAGCUGGUUACUCAAGAAAAGGAUUUUAGUCCAGCCUAAAGCCUUCCCAGUCCCCCAAAACACAACUUUGACUUUAGAGUAAUUCAAAUAAGGUACAGCCUAUUUGAAAAAGGAUACAACCUAAGCUAACGGGUAAUAUUUUUAUCUUAUAACCAAGUGGGCUUAAAAGCAGCCACCUUUAAAAUAGCGUCAAAGCUUUAUUAUAACGGUUAUUAAUUCCUUUCAAUAUACAUAACCCUUUAAUUCUAUUGAGUAAUUCUAUAUUAUUAUAGAACGUACAAUGUUAAAACUAGUAACAAGAAGAAGACCUUCUCUUAAAUGCAAGUGUAAAUCAACAAGGACUAACCACUGAUAAUUAACACCCAUGAAAAUAUUUUAGUAACCUUACAAGAAAAUUCUAAUAAACUAUGUGUUAACCUAACACAAGAGCA
rnacentral:rRNA from 1 species